rnacentral:rRNA from 1 species
CGGACGGGUGAGUAAUGCUUGGGAAUCUAGCUUAUGGAGGGGGAUAACUACGGGAAACUGUAGCUAAUACCGCGUAAUAUCGAAAGAUUAAAGUGUGGGACCUUCGGGCCACAUGCCAUAGGAUGAGCCCAAGUGGGAUUAGGUAGUUGGUGAGGUAAAGGCUCACCAAGCCGACGAUCUCUAGCUGGUCUGAGAGGGUGACCAGCCACACUGGGACUGAGACACGGCCCAG